rnacentral:rRNA from 1 species
AUUGAACGCUGGCGGCAGGCCUAACACAUGCAAGUCGAACGAGUGGCGGACGGGUGAGUAAUGUCUGGGAAACUGCCCGAUGGAGGGGGAUAACUACUGGAAACGGUAGCUAAUACCGCAUACCCUGAGAUGUGCCCAGGUGGGUUUAGCUAGGAGGUGGGGUAAUGGCUCACCUAGGCGACGAUCCCUAGCUGGUCUGAGAGGAUGAACAGCCACACUGGAACUGAGACACGGGCCAGACUCCUACGGGAGGCAGCAGUGGGGAAUAGUGCACAAUGGGCGCAAGCCUGAUGCAGCCAUGCCGCGUGUAUGAAGAAGGCCGUCGGGUUGUAAAGUACUUUCAGCGGGGAGGCGUUACUCGCAGAAGAAGCACCGGCUAACUCCGUGCCAGCAGCCGCGGUAAUUC